GUCAGGGGACCGCGAACAGCACGGAGACGCGGCACAAUAAAAAGGCAUAAUUAAGCCAUUCAUUAACACUCGCUUCAAGAGGACCGCAGACACAAAGGAUGACUCAGAUUCCUGAGCCUCUGCAUUACGUCUUGCGCCCUGGACAGGAUAUCACCGUAUACUGUAAGUUCAUUACUGAGACACUACAGUAUAGAUGAUGUACUAUCCAGGGUCCCAUUCCGCCGUCAGAGUGCGGGGGCUGCGCUGCACCAGCAGAAGACUCACAGGGAGUGGCGGUAAAACCGUUACCAUUACUGAGUUUUUAGUAAUGGUAAGGGUUAAACUGCCCCUUCUCCUUCUCGUCCGCAACUGCCAGAACGGGGGGACUACGCACGAUGGCUGACGCGACUUCGACUGCUCAAAGGAACAGUGUUUCCAAUGGGCGACGGGAUUUUCAAAAUAAACAUCUGAGGCCAUAAAUUAUUGGUGCUCUGACAAUUAAUAGUUAAAAUUUUAACGAGUAUGUCCAUUUAAUAUCGUUCAUAAAAAGUUCAAAAAUAUUCAAAUGAUUAUAUUCAGAGGCAUUAUUUGCAACAGUAUUUAUCUGUAUUUUUUGUUGUUGUUUUUUUUACUGUAACUGCUGUGACUUUGGCCCAUACACAAACUACAGAGCUGACAGUAUGAUCUAUUGUGAGCUUGUAUAAUGUAACAAAUAAAAAGGGCUUGGUGCUUGUCAAAAGAUACACUUCACAGAGCAAUGCAAGAACAAAAAUACGUAUAUUACUCAUAUACAUAUAUUAAUACAUAAAUACGUGUAUUACUCAUUCACCGACUAAUGAAUUCUGGACACAGUGCAGUGCACACACUGGACAGUAUUGCGAGUAGGAAAUGUCUAAGUGUAUUAUACAUUAGUAUGUUUAUGGAGGGGCAAGGCUUAAGCAAUGAGAGGUCAUUAAACCUAUAAAAUCCUCGGCCACUUGCCUGGAGGCAUGUUUGGAGGAAAUAAUGACCGCAGUGACUCACUCAUGUGGGAGCGGUACAUGAAUGGGGCUUAAGGUUCAUCUCCAAUGUUCUUUACAGCGUCAUGACAAAAGCUUAUGCAUACAUUAAAAUAAAAGGCAGAUGUAGAAAUCA